rnacentral:tRNA from 2 species
GGCAUCCGCGGAAUCUGGUAGCGUACAGGCCUGUGGAGCCUGGAGGCCGGGUUCAAAUCCCGGCGGCGGCCUCCA